CUCUGCCGCUUCUCCAUGCCCUAGAGACUACCGGGCUGGAUCUCAAUUUUUCAUCCAUGCUGCUAUCCAAUCUCCAUGUGUUCCUUUGAUUUAGAAAAGUUUGCAUCGCAAGAGAAUUUGUGAGGGGGAGCAGGGGAGGUGGUUGGAUCAGGGCUGGUGGUGCUGCGACGCAGAGGCAGUGGUUGGGGAGACGUCGUGGUGCAGCCGAGGAAGCUCGAGAGGCGGUGACUAAAGGAGGCUCUGGUGGUGCUGCGACGCAGAGGCAGUGGUUGGGGAGACGUCGUGGUGCAGCCGAGGAAGCUCGAGAGGCGGUGACUAAAGGAGGCUCUACUGGCUGUGGAGAAUCUCCAUGGCCGACGAGCUACACCGUACACAGGAGGCGGCGAUGCCAUGGACGGCUGCAGAGCCGAGGUGCGACGAGCAGAUGGGAAGUCGGCGAGGCGCACAGGAAGCGGCGGCGCCCUAGACGGCUGCAGAGGAGAGAGGCCACAAGGGGAGGAGCUCAGGUGGAGCAACUCCUCGCUUCUGUCACCAUGUCCAAAGUCGUAUCCCUCGAGGCUGCAGUUCUCAAAAAAUAUAGAUCACAAUCUAAUUUUUCCUCUCCUUGAUCCCCUUCUUCCAAGGAUUGAAUCUCUUCAGUUCCAAAAUUCAAAUCAAUGCACAAUCAUCAUCUUAAACAACCACAUGAUCCAAUCCCAGCCUCCCCGGAUGCUUUGCUCCUCAAUAUUUAAAUCCCCUCAGUUUCACCAAGCACCAUGAUUUUUCAUAAGAAUUGAGUGUUGGUCAGUUGGAAGAUGGAGACAGUUUGAAACAGGUCAAGCAGUCGUCACCGUCAGCGAGGCUGCGAAGUGGAUGAACAACACUCCAUCUACGCAGGCAGGGUUCCUGCAGGCAGACAACAAGAGGCACACGCACGGUGGCAGCAGGCAGGUGGUGGGUGCGGCGACAACUGUGAGAUGCAUGUCUCCGGCAGCCGCGUCGCCUUCUACGCUAGACAAUUAUAUUAUACAUCUGCUAAGGGUAACUACAAGGUGUUCUUCACGGAGCUCAGUUGAGCUGAAUUAGUCAAGUUGUUGGGUAAGCUAACUAAGCAUCCUUUUGUAACUAUGCUUUCAUCACGGAUUGGAAAGAUAGCAGAACAUACAUAUCAUCCACAUGCAAAGAACUGAAAUAAUUAAAGAUAGUGUGAAUUAGUACAAUUUACUGCAGAUUCGAGGACUAUUGUAAACAUUGCAAUGGAAUACUUCAGAUUUAGUAUAAUUGUUUUAAGGUAAUUACAUUAUGUAUAUAAAUGAUUGCAAAUAAUUCAAUUAGUUGUUUCCUUCUGUGUUAUUUUUAAAAUAUAAUUUCACAGAAUUAUUUGAUUCAUUUUGUUUUCUGUGAUAAAUUUGCGUUUACAAUGUCAAAUGUAAGAAACCUAUAUAUUAAGAUGCCUUUCUUCAUGUAAAUUGUGUAGACCUUAGAUUACUAGGUUGAUUGUAUUCUCUAUUUCUCUUAGCAUUGCUCAUUGAGCCUUGAAAGAAUGUGUUUCCAGCAGUGCUAGAACUGUUUAAAAAUGUCAGGAAUGAUAUCGUCCGCAUCAUCAGUUGAUGAGAGAAAUAUGUGCAGAAGAUUUUUAUAGGAUCAUUUGAGGCUUAAACAUAAGUCGUAGAUAAUUGAUUUACAUCCAAUAACAACCUAGACAGUGUUUGAAACUCAAGAUAUAAAAUUGACUUUGGAAUCAAGAAGUUUUUAUUGCAUAUGUAUAUAUGUCUAUCAUAUAUGCUAGAUUAUCAUAUAAUUAUAUACGAUUAUUAAGUAUCCACUAUUCACAUAUCACGUAUGACUAGAAGGUUUUUACAAGAUUGUGAUGUAGCGGUUGGGCAUGCCGGGCCACAUAUCAUUAAAUCCCUCAUCUCUUCUCCUUCUUGAUGAACUCAUUGGAGAGCUGCCAAUAUUUUCGCUUUAUUCGUAAUGUCUCAUCAAGACAUUUUUUUGGGGUUUUGUACAUUUUUCACGUCACAAUGCUUACCAGACUAUGAAUUAUAGGGAGUGAAGGAGAAUCAACCAGCUGAGAUAAUCUGCGUGGCAUUUGCUGCCAACUAGCAGAGUUGUGUACAUAUAGAAAUCAACCACUGUCAGCCAAAUCUUUUUGAUGUUUAUAGAAGCUUCAUAGACAUUUUCCUAUGUAAAGGAUUUCGAGAUUGUACGUUUUUCUUCCAAUAUGUGCUAACUUUCAGAUUAUCUGCAUGUACAACAAACAUUUCUUUUGUCCAGGAAUAAGAAUCAUAUCUUAUAGUGUAUAGUAUUUUGUUGGUAGAUUUUUCAGAUUUAAGUAUUGUUGGUUGUGCAAGAAAAUAGCUUCAUGUAUGGAUUAUUGAGUUACACAUGUUUCUGUUUAUGGUUUGUUUGUUGUAUUUGGAAACAGAUAUAGAUAGAUGAUCUUUUUAAUACAAAACAUUUAUAUUAAAUUUUCCUGCGUUUCUAGCCAUGUAAUCCAUAUUAUCAUUGUUUUUUUAAUAAUAUGUGUGAUCCUUCCUUUGCAGUUACAGUAUUCAGAUAGCAUAGUUUCCACUUACAGAAAAUAUGCUAAAGUAUUUUCAGGUACACUUUCUGAGUGCCCUCACAGUGUUUUUCAUGUUUCUUGCAAGGGCUUCUACAUAAGGAUAAAUCUGUUCUAAAAAAUAGUAGAUUUAUGUAGUCUCAUUAUGCACAGCAAAAUAUUCACGCAUGCCUCUACAUCUACUUCAUUGAAUAGUAAUCCGCAAUCUUCAUUAGGAUAGAACAAAAAAUUCUGUGAGAAAACUUACACAUCUUUAUCUCAAAUUGAUAAAUGGGUUUAGGUACUGCCAAUUCCAAUAUGGUCGCUUAUGUUUCUUUUGUCAUUGAUAGUUUCUCAUGAGUCCUAACUUCUACAGGUAAGGAAUUGAUUUGCCUCUUGAUAGUUUUUUCUUGCUUUUUGAAUUUAUCUUUCUGUUGCAACCAAAUUACAUUAUUAUUUUCUGCAAAUCGAAGUUGAAAUCCAUGGUUUCUCUAUGCUCGUAAAAAAUAAAGCAGUGUUCUUGAUAUUCCCCAUCUCUUUUCUUAACACAAUAUGCAUCUUAUCUUCUCUCAUGUAAGCAAUCUCGAUAAGAGUCCUCUAUCUUCAAACCACACUCAAGUCCAUGGUUUUCCUCGGCGCGACAAACUAUAGUUGGAUCAGUGUUUCAAAAGACGUGGCGUGGGCUUGAAGGAUACGCCGAAGGCAUCAGAUGGUCGGAGGGAUCGCCAAGGGGAGGUUCCCAGGGCUAUGAACUAGCAAGUAAUUUGAUUUUUUUAUUACUAGUAAGCGUGCACGUGCAACGCACGUCCUGCCAAUUCAAUCAAUUUUUCAAAUUCCACCUCUAUUUAAUUUGUAUCAUUUUCUAUAGCUUUUGUUUAUCUACACCUUUUUUUAAUUCAAACAACUAAAGAAACUAAAAUGGAAAUACAAUAUGUGCUAUUCCCGAAAGAAAUAAAAUGGGAAUGUGAUAUAGGUAAUGAAUAGGGAGUAUCUAGGAUGAUAAGUACAACAUUUGUCGAAAUAUCCCCAGGGCAAUAACCUAAUUAUUUGAAAUGCAUUGUUUGACAGAGACACAAAAAUGAAGAGUUUAUUUGAACAGUGUGCAAAAAUGCUCUUCAGAUGUAUUUUAUCAAACAAGGAGUCCGAGUUUGCCAAAAUAAAAAUUCAAAGCGGUUUGGAAGUAUUCUCAUCACUUCUCUUCUCCGCCUCAGAAGCAUUCUUCAUCCGGGCUCCCAAAAGCUUCAUCCCUCAGAGCUUUGUCUAUAUAAAGAGUCAAGGUACUAAACAUGCAUGGCAUAUAUGUCCAGUCAGUAAUAAAAUUAGUUUCUAGCACAAUGUCGGAGGAUUUAAAGAUGGGACAUUACCGUCUUAUGCAAACAUUGUGGAGACCUUUGUAUAUUUAAUGCAUACUUCUGCUUUCAUUAUUGGGCUGAUGAAGUGAAAGUUGUGAGAUAAAAUA